rnacentral:rRNA from 1 species
ACGUAAUAGAUACCCGGGUAGUCCACGCCCUAAACGAUGUCUACUAGUUGUCGGGUCUUAAUUGACUUGGUAAACGCAGCUAAACGCGUGAAAGUAGACCGCCUGGGGAGUACGGUCGCAAGAUUAAAACUCAAAGGAAUUGACGGGGACCCGCACAAGCGGUGGAUGAUGUGGAUUAAUUCGAUGCAACGCGAAAAACCUUACCUACCCUUGACAUGGAUGGAAUCCCUGAGAGAUUGGGGAGUGCCCGAAAGGGAACCAUUACACAGGUGCUGCAUGGCUGUCGUCAGCUCGUGUCGUGAGAUGUUGGGUUAAGUCCCGCAACGAGUGCAACCCUUGUCAUUAGUUGCUACGAAAGGGCACUCUAAUGAGACUGCCGGUGACAAACCGGAGGAAGGUGGGGAUGACGUCAAGUCCUCAUGGCCCUUAUGGGUAGGGCUUCACACGUCAUACAAUGGUACAUACAGAGGGCCGCAACCCGCGAGGGGUAGCUAAUCCCAGAAAGUGUAUCGUAGUCCGGAUUGUAGUCUGCAACUCGACUGC